rnacentral:sRNA from 1 species
CGGGGGUGUCCCCAUCCGGUCCGGCCGCCAUUUCAUAUCCGGCGCCUCCCCGCGUGGGGUUCUGAUGACGGCGCCUUGCCCCUGUGCUCAUCCGGUUCCCC